rnacentral:rRNA from 1 species
GAUGAACGCUGGCGGCGUGCCUAAUACAUGCAAGUCGAGCGAACAGACGAGGAGCUUGCUCCUCUGACGUUAGCGGAGGACGGGUGAGUAACACGUGGAUAACCUACCUAUAAGACUGGGAUAACUUCGGGAAACCGGCGCUAAUACCGGAUAAUCUAUUGAACCGCAUGGUUCGAUAGUGAGAGACGGUUUUGCUGUCACUUAUAGCUGGAUCCGCGCCGCAUUAGCUGGUUGGUAAGGUAACGGCUUACCAAGGCGACGAUGCGUAGCCGACGUGAGAGGGUGAUCGGCCACACUGGAACUGAGACACGGUCCAGACUCCUACGGGAGGCAGCAGUAGGGAAUCUGCCGCAAUGGGCGAAAGCCUGACGGAGCAACGCCGCGCGAGUGAUGAAGGUCUUCGGAUCGUAAAACUCUGUUAUUAGGGAAGAACAAAUGUGUAAGUAACUAUGCACGUCUUGACGGUACCGAAUCAGAAAGCCACGGCUAACUACGUG